rnacentral:rRNA from 1 species
AUUGAACGCUGGCGGCAGGCCUAACACAUGCAAGUCGAACGAGUGGCGGACGGGUGAGUAAUGUCUGGGAAACUGCCCGAUGGAGGGGGAUAACUACUGGAAACGGUAGCUAAUACCGCAUACCAUCGGAUGUGCCCAGAUGGGAUUGGCUAGUAGGUGGGGUAACGGCUCACCGAGGCGACGAUCCCUAGCUGGUCUGAGAGGAUGACCAGCCAGACUGGAACUGAGACACGGUCCAGACUCAUACGGGCGGCAGCAGUGGGGAAUAUUGACCAAUGGGCGAAAGCCUGAUGCAGCCAUGCCGCGUGUAUGAAGAAGGCCUGCGGGUUGUAACGUACUUCCAGCGAGGAGGCGUUACUCGCAGAAGAAGCACCGGCUAACUCCGUGCCAGCAGCCGCGGUAAUUC